GGAGAAGUACUCAAGUGGCUGAAGAGGCGCCCCUGCUAAGGGUGUAGGUCGGGAAACUGGCGCGAGAGUUCGAAUCUCUCCUUCUCCG
rnacentral:tRNA from 1 species